AUGCAGUCGAGCGGAUGAGAGGAGCUUGCUCCUCGAUUCAGCGGCGGACGGGUGAGUAAUGCCUAGGAAUCUGCCUAGUAGUGGGGGACAACGUUUCGAAAGGAACGCUAAUACCGCAUACGUCCUACGGGAGAAAGUGGGGGAUCUUCGGACCUCACGCUAUUAGAUGAGCCUAGGUCGGAUUAGCUAGUUGGUAGGGUAAAGGCCUACCAAGGCGACGAUCCGUAACUGGUCUGAGAGGAUGAUCAGUCACACUGGAACUGAGACACGGUCCAGACUCCUACGGGAGGCAGCAGUGGGGAAUAUUGGACAAUGGGCGAAAGCCUGAUCCAGCCAUGCCGCGUGUGUGAAGAAGGCCUUCGGGUCGUAAAGCACUUUAAGUUGGGAGGAAGGGCUCAUAGCGAAUACCUGUGAGUUUUGACGUUACCAACAGAAUAAGCACCGGCUAACUUCGUGCCAGCAGCCGCGGUAAUACGAAGGGUGCAAGCGUUAAUCGGAAUUACUGGGCGUAAAGCGCGCGUAGGUGGCUUGAUAAGUUGGAUGUGAAAUCCCCGGGCUCAACCUGGGAACUGCAUCCAAAACUGUCUGGCUAGAGUGCGGUAGAGGGUAGUGGAAUUUCCAGUGUAGCGGUGAAAUGCGUAGAUAU
rnacentral:rRNA from 1 species